CUGAAGAAGAGACCAAGAGUGGGUUUCAGAGGAGGCCGCUGUCCCUGCAACUGCCAGGAGGGGGCAUCCUGGUUUUAGUGGGGAAGGAACGUCUGGUCAGAGCUCCAGGAGAGACCUGGGACAAGGACCGUGAGGCAAGGAGUGACCUUCCCCUGGGGACCCUCUGGAUCUGCUGGCCUGGGCACACAGAGAGGUCUCCGCCUCCUGCAAAGCCCCGAGGAAAUGCUGAGUCAGUCCCCCAGCUCCAGGGAACCCAAGAUCUCCAGGCUGACAUUACAGUCCUUUCACAAUACUGGCGGAGGGAAGGCUACAGACCCAGGGAAUGGCAGGAAAGAUCCCGGGCCUGGUCCUAGCUGCUCUGUAACGCAUCAGUCCCCACACAAGCUCGGCGAGGCAGAUGGAAAAAAGAACCAAACGUGGGCAGGCGGGAAAGCCAGCCCCAGGGAGGAAGGAGCAGCGCAGCCCUGCCAACACUUCUCCUGCCACAAAGCCCUCAGCUCCGUGAGCGCAAGGAGAGAGGCUGGAUGGCUGGGGACUCAGGAGACUGCAGACAAGGAGUCACCCUCCAUUCCACUGGGGAAGGGGGCAGAAGGACAGACAAGCUGUCUAAUGCAACAGCGUCUCCUGCAGAGGCCCUUCCAGGGCCCCAGAAUGUCAC